rnacentral:rRNA from 1 species
UAACGCGUGGGUAACCUGCCCUAUACACAUGGAUAACAUACUGAAAAGUUUACUAAUACAUGAUAAUAUAUAUUUACGGCAUCGUAGAUAUAUCAAAGUGUUAGCGGUAUAGGAUGGACCCGCGUCUGAUUAGCUAGUUGGUGAGAUAACUGCCCACCAAGGCGACGAUCAGUAGCCGACCUGAGAGGGUGAUCGGCCACAUUGGAACUGAGACACGGUCCAAACUCCUACGGGAGGCAGCAGAG